GACGAACGCUGGCGGCGUGCUUAACACAUGCAAGUCGAACGGAAAGGCCCUGCUUGCCGGGUACUCGAGUGGCGAACGGGUGAGUAACACGCGGGUGAUCUGCCCUGCACUUCGGGAUAAGCUUGGGAAACUGGGUCUAAUACCGGAUAGGAGCCAUCUUUAGUGUGGUGGUUGGAAAGUUUUUUCGGUGUAGGAUGAGCUCGCGGCCUAUCAGCUUGUUGGUGGGGUAAUGGCCUACCAAGGCGGCGACGGGUAGCCGGCCUGAGAGGGUGUACGGCCACAUUGGGACUGAGAUACGGCCCAGACUCCUACGGGAGGCAGCAGUGGGGAAUAUUGCACAAUGGGCGCAAGCCUGAUGCAGCGACGCCGCGUGGGGGAUGAAGGCCUUCGGGUUGUAAACUCCUUUCGCUAGGGACGAAGCUUUUUGGGACGGUACCGAGAUAAGAAGCACCGGCGAACUACGG
rnacentral:rRNA from 1 species